rnacentral:rRNA from 1 species
CUACGGGAGGCUGCAGUAGGGAAUUUUCCACAAUGGACGAAAGUCUGAUGGAGCAACGCCGCGUGCAGGAUGAAUGCCUUCGGGUUGUAAACUGCUUUUAUUAGUGACGAUUAUGACGGUAACUAAUGAAUAAGGACCUGCUAACUACGUGCCAGCAGCCGCGGUCAUACGUAGGGUCCAAGCGUUAUCCGGAAUUACUGGGCGUAAAGAGUUGCGUAGGUGGCAUAGUAAGUAGAUAGUGAAAGCGUGUGGCUCAACCAUACAUCCAUUAUCUAAACUGCUAAGCUUGAGGAUGAGAGAGGUAGAUGGAAUUUCUGAUGUAGGGGUAAUAUCCGUAGAUAUCAGAAGGAACACCGAUGGCGUAAGCAGUCUACUGGCUCAUUCCUGACACUAAGGCACGAAAGCGUGGGGAGCAAACAGGAUUAGAUACCCGUGUAGUC